AAUGGAAAACUGUCAGGAAAGGGAAAGGAUUCUCAUUUCUUGAUUAAAAAAAAUAAUAGAAAAAGACAAAGAUAUUCAGAUCCAUUGUUCUCCUCUUCUCAGUGAUUCUCAGGUGACAGCAGAAAGUGAAGAUCCCUGAACCGGCAUUUCACAAUAGCAGUGCUCAGACAAGACUAAGCUCUAUGUGACCAAAAGGCAGCGGCACAGAGUCCAGAGGGCCUUCAUCCCUGAAGCUGAAUGCUGUGGUUCAGCAUGAAAUGAUUGCUGCACUGGAUUUCAGAACUGCAGAUCUUCUGCUUUCCCCAUGCCCUGUCACAUUAAACCAUUUAUGCACAAAGUAAGCAGUUUGGGUUUGCCCUUGUGACUUUACUGGAACCAGUUGCUUAUUCUUAUCACAAUUCUGCCAGCAAGCGCUUCAGCAAAAGGAAUUGCAAACUACCCACUGCAGCCACUGCAUUUCAGUGCAGUUACAAGUGAAAUCACA
rnacentral:lncRNA from 1 species